CUCGUUCUUGUUUUGUCGUGUACAUGCCACCUAUUUAGGUUUGAACGGUUCAGCCUGGCGUCGAAGUUCAGGCUCGCCCGAUUCGGUCUCGAUGGAGAAACCCAAUUUGAGCUUCGAUCAACUUAAAGAGGGCGUGUUCGUGUCCGCCGAAGACUUUGUGGAGAAUUUGACCAGUAAGAUAGACGCGGCACAGAACCGGUUAUCGCCGCCCUCGCAAUCGAUAGACGUGAAAUCCUCGUAUCCAAAGCCGACUGCGACUAUACAGAAAUCUCUGCAGACGGAGAAGGUGUUCGACACGUCGCUGUACGAAAAGGCGUUCGCGACGAACUUGACGCAGCUGCUGACUCUUCGAAGUCAGUUGGAAAACCGGAUGUUGGCGUUGUCGCACGAAUGCACGACUCUAGAAAAGGCGUUCAAGGUGAAGCUGGGGGAUUUGAACAAUAGGUUGGGACGCGCGUCUCACGACUUUAAGACAUUCUAUGGCACGUUCAACAAGGUUUCCGAGAGCAUUCAGCAAAUCGGAGGGGACUUAGAGCGACUGGAACAAAUGCGCACGCGCGCGGUGGAAAUUGUGAAGUAUUUGAAGUACAUAGUUAAGUUGAACCAAGAGAACGAACCAACGGACGAACUGUUUCAGUCUCUGAGCGACGUAGAGAUGGCCUAUGUGAUCAAGGACCUGUUGGUGUUGGCGCAGGAACUGGACGUUCCCAACACGGCCGUGGCGAAGCGGAACAUUAAGAGGAUUGCGGAAUCGUUGGAGGCGAAGCAGUUGGACAUGUUUGCAAGCGCUGCCAAGACCGACGACUAUCAAGUGAUGCAGGCAUGCGCGCAAGUCUUGUUCGCGCUAGGCGAGGGCGAAGAGUGCGUCAAAUGCUACAUCAAUCAGUUGACAAUAUUUUUUGAAGAAGAUGUUGAAGACGAAGCUUUGCAGGAAGAAGAAAAUAGCAUCGCGAUUGACUCGGUGAACAACGACGAACCGAAAGGGACCAACAUCAGCACUAAAACGUCGAACAAUCAACUGACGCAAGGUAGUGGACCAUCAGUCAAUAAUUCAGUGUCCGUCCAAAAAGAAGACAAAAAUUAUUUGCCGACAACGGAGCUACAAAAAGAGACCGGCAAAAUAAAACAAGAACGCGAACCAAAACAAGAACGCGAAUUGAAGCAGGCAGAAGCCAAUCCACCCGAAGCGGAUUCUUCCCUUUUCGAUUUUUCGUCUUCAACUCUUUAUUCGGAUCCUGUUUCUUAUUCCAUUCGAUAUAUGCAUUCCAACUACUUCAAAAACCACACUCAUUUUUUGCGUAUUCACCGCUUCUACUCGGACGUUCUCAUCUCCAUCCGCAGUGAGUACAGCGUUAUUCUACAGGUGUUUCCAGUCCCCGGACUCGUCUUGCAGCAGCUUGUCCAAAGAGUUUUCGAGCAGCGAAUUUUUUCGCUCGUGUCCGCUUUGUUGUACCGACAUCGCCAGGAUUACGAGCUCUAUUUGCAGCUUCUGAGCUUCGCUUACUCGGCCAGCUUCGGCCUGGUCCAAGGGCUUGCCCAUCCACCUACCAGCUUACCAGUCUCCUUUUUGACAACGUUCAUCGAUACCAUCUUUUCAACGUUCAGAAACGAUUACAUCGCCGUCGAGAUCGACGCGCUGCAUGCCUUCUUCAGACAGAAAAGGGCAGCAGACAACAAAACGGUCACAAACACGUCUAUCAUUUGGAAUCUGGAUCUGGCCACUCAGAACUUAGAAAGAUCCGGCGAAGCCAUCACGCGGUGCACUCUUUUGUCCUUUCCGAAACACGUAACACAAAACGUGCUUCAAAUCAAAUCCAUUAUCACGAACGAUUUUUACGAAAUGUUCCUUCAAUCUAUUCGCGCUGCCACCAGAAGGCUCACUUCGAACGCCAACGCCUCGGAAAUUGUCAGCUUCUUCAGUCUCGUUCAAAACAUCAGCGCUAACGUCAUCCUUCUGCAAAAGCAAUACUUCGAAAACAUGCGGCCAGACAUUGAACACAACCCUUUGGAGCAACACUCUGAAACCACCAUAAAUGCCACGUUGAUGCACGCUUUGGAAGAGCAGAUAGAAAUUGGACUAUACAAGGUUUUAGACUUACAAAUCACUAUCAUCCAAAAAAUACUCGCAAAAGAGCAAAAAAAAUCAGACUACUAUCCCAGCUUGAACAAGCUCAAAAGCGUCAAUACCGAAUACCCAUCCAAAGCAUGCUUGAGCGUAUGUGAAUUCAUAAAGAACCAAAAGAAGUGCUCUGGCGACAGUCUGGACAAAAGAAAUGAGACGGCUUACUUGACAUCUUUCAGUUCUAGAAUUCUGAGAGUUUUAUUGAAACACAUCAAAAAAUUCACCAUCGAAUAUGGUAUUGGCGGUAUUUGUCUGAUGAGAGACGUUUCAGAAUAUCAACAGUGCAUCGAACGAUUUGGCGUCAGCGAACCUGGCGGGUUUGAAAUUCUCAGAACCAUCGCCAGACUCCAUCUAGUCGGCCCAGAGCAGAUUCCUGACAUUGUUAAUGGGUCCAUACUUGCCAACAUGCCAUUCAAAAAGGUGAAGUCCUACAUCAGAAUGCGGUCAGAUUAUGACAAGUCAUGGUCCAAAAAAUAUUUUAACAAAAACCAUUAAAAUUUUGAUUCGAACGAUAUCGUUUAUUUAACACAUGUCUCGCAAGGGUUUGGUGCAUUCGCUCUUUGCUAAGCCGACUGUUUUCUGGAACUCGCCUUUUUUUUCUUCUCAAUUCUUCAGGCUGUAUACUGCAGCACAAAAUUCUGACUCUAUCUCCAAGCGUCUCUUCGAAUGAACACAAACAGUUGGACAGUGGAUUUGACCUGGUGCAGCUCUAUGUGCGAGAUCUCCUGGCGUAAAAAAACCUAGCAGAUUAAAAAGCAGUGCGUAUGCCAGAGCACCAGAAGAUAUGCUUCCGAUCUAAUUGCCAAACUUGUUCUUAACAUCUUUUUUUUACACUUUUAUCUAUUGAACUUUGCCAUGGAUGAUGGAGUAUUCCCUCUUUUCACGGGGUUUUGACUUGUGCGACGUUACCCGCACACACGUGGUGCACAGAGGGCCGCUGAAAUGUACCCAUACCAAGUAGAUGUGUCAUCGCACACAGAAUGGCAUUUGUCCGCAAGGUUUUCAGUUUUGAUUCGCGUUGCCUUCAUUUUUUGCAAGCCUGCACAUAUCUGUACGAAGGGAUCCUUAAUUGUUUUCUUGCCCAGCUAAAAGUCGUAUUCAUACGCAUAACAUAGGAGUUAUUCUUAUUCGGCAUGUAUUGUGCGUUCAGAAUUUUCUUGUUACAGGCGCUUCGCAAAAACACUUUUUUUCUAACGUCUCUCUACUUUUUGCGCCAGUACGAUUGCAGCCUGCCGGUUUUCAUGUAUGUUAUCAAUUUGAACCCACUAACCGGCUUUUCAUGUUUCUUUAGAGAAUACUAGGUGAGGGUAUUUUCCCUACCGAGCCUUUCUUGUCACAUCAACGCGGGCGCGAGUUUUUGUAAAUCCGUCGCGCAGUGUCUGCCAAUUACAAAGAGUUUUUGAUAUUUCCUUGAUUUGCCGAGCGUUUAUUGUCCCGGAUUGAGUACGACCUUUUCGAAGAAGCCUUUAUGAGAGACCGCCGAAAAUGCGAACACCUCUGUAUGGCUGUCCUACCAUAUAACAAGAAGACCGCGAGCUAGCAACAAGUCGAUGAACGAAUUAGAACAGAGAAUGUUGCACUUGGCAGAAAUUGAAUGGCCAGGAAAACUUAACUGUACUGCUUUCAAAUGGGUCUUUCAUAAAGUGCUGUGCACACCUUUGCCUGUCUCUCGAAGUUCACUGGUGACACGAGGUCAAAACUGAUAUGGCUGUGCACAUGCAGUUAAGAUGAGAUAGAAAAAACUAGGCCGAUAGAGAGAGCGCUUCGCGGCGACAUUCGAGAAGUGUCCUUUUUGCCACGAAGCCUCGAAGGAAAGAAGCAGAGACCACGUCAACUAGCGAUUUUCGAGAGAAAGGUGGAGGGGCCCGUGUACCGGCUAGAGAAAGAGGUAUUGAAAGGUAUAGAUGAAAGGGAUAUGAGCGACAGAAGAUACAUACAUAAUAUCGCGUGUUGACAUAGCAGGUGCAUAUUGUUCGUUUCAAAAAAACAGACAAAAAUACUGGUAUUUUUAGGGGGAUGGAGAUAACAAGGACCAGCUGGAAAGGCACUAGUUGGAGAAAAAAAGCGGGUCUGGGAAGCCGAAGUAUGUGAGAACCGGUAAAUUAAAAAGCAAAUAGACGAUUAUACUCAAAAAUUGUACAAAUCAUAAUCGGUUUUUAUUUUUCUCCAUCGGUUCGUUAGGAUUAUUCCUCUUGAAACGUCCCUAUUGUCAAGAGCAGACACUGCCUUUCGAAGACCCCAUUCUAGAUGGGCUCGAUAAUGAACAAACCUAGCCAGUCCCCUAGCAAAGAACCUGAACGUGAAUGCUUUUAUGAGCUUGAAGACGAUUCUGCUGCCUCAUAUUGCAACAGUAUAUUGCAGAUACUCUAUUGCUACGCACCCUUAAGGACAGCAAUCAUUUCGUGGGGGA